AUAAAUGUCUCAAAUAAUAAUUUGUUUGAUGGCUGAAAUGAAUGGCAUUUCUCAAAAAGGCCAAGGGACUGAAUACAGAAAUUUAAACAAUAACUUUCCGUUAGUGAUACGGUUUGGAUGUUUUGUCCCCUCCAAAUCUCAUGUUGAAAUGCGACCUCCAGUGUUGGAGGUGGGCCUAGUAAUAGGUGUUUGUUUCCCAAGGGUGGAUCCCCAUGAAUGGUUUUGUGCUGUCCUCCUGGUAAUGAGUGAGUUCUUGCUCUAUGAAUUCACGAGAGAUCUUGUUGUUUAAAAGAGCCUGGCAUCUCCCUUGCUCCCUCUCUCCCCAUGUAAUAUGCCAGCUCCCCCUUUGCCUUAAGCCAUGAUUGUCAGCUUCCCGGGCCUCAGCAGAAGCUGAGCAGAUACUGGUGGCCUGUUUGUACAGCCUGCAGACCAUCAGCCCAAAUACUCCUCUUUUCUUUAUAAAUUACCCAGUCUCUGGUAUUCCUUUAUAACAUUGAGAUGGACUAACAUAGUCAGUUUUGACAACAUGAACCUUUCAUAUUAAAAUUUAAUUUCUAAAUUCACUCAUUUACUGUGAUUGG
rnacentral:lncRNA from 1 species